rnacentral:rRNA from 1 species
GGACUACUAGGGUUUCUAAUCCCGUUCGCUCCCCAUGCUGUCGUGUCUGAAUGUCGGAUACAGGCCAGGAGGCCGCCUUCGCCUCUGGGGUUCUGCCGGAUCUCUACGCAUUUCACCACUACACCCGGCAUUCCACCUCCCUCUCCUGCUCCCUAGACCCCCAGUCUCCACUAACCCGCCCGGGUUAAGCCCGGGGCUUUCAUAGCGGACUUGGUGACCCAUCUGCACACGCUUUACGCCCAGUAAAUCCGGAUAACGCUUGCCACCUACGUUUUACCGCGGCUGCUGGCAC